rnacentral:rRNA from 1 species
GACGAACGCUGGCGGUAUGCUUAACACAUGCAAGUCGAACGAGAAGUUUUUUAUUGAACCUUCGGGGGAUAUAAGAGACAGACAGUGGCGAACGGGUGAGUAACGCGUGGGCAACCUACCUAUCGGAGCGGGAUAGCCUCGAGAAAUCGGGAGUAAAACCGCAUAACACGGAUAUAUCGCAUGAUGAAUCCGUCAAAACUCCGGUGCCGAUAGAUGGGCCCGCGUCUGAUUAGCUAGUUGGUAAGGUAAGGGCUUACCAAGGCAACGAUCAGUAGCCGGUGUGAGAGGGCGAACGGCCACACUGGAACUGAGACACGGUCCAGACUCUACGGGAGGCAGCAGUGGGGAAUAUUGCGCAAUGGGGGCAACCCUGACGCAGCAAUACCGCGUGAGUGAAGAAGGUUUUCGGAUCGUAAAGCUCUGUUAUUCGGGAAGAAGCAGGACGGUACC